CUUCUUCUCAAUAGUAUAUAUAUAUAUAUUAUUAUAACUGAAAAUCUAUUGCUUAUCAUAUGUACAGUGUGUUUUCUGUUGUUCAUUAAUAAUUUAAAAAUAAUUGUAAUAAUCAUACAAAUGGAUAUAUGUUCAUUUAUUAUGCCUACAUAAAUAUACAUUAAAAUAUAAUUGCAAUGUAAUAUAUCUUAAUAAUUACAUAAAUCUAAAUGUUUUAAAUAAUUAAGUCAUGCUUUUAAAUAAUGAAUAGUUUUCAAAGAAAAUGAUUUUUUUCUUAAAAUCUUGUCCUUUUGUACUUGCAUAUGGUUCUCAACCUUCUCCCCGCCCCACCCUGAUGAUCACAGGGUUAUGGGUGAGGGGGAUUCCCACUCCUGAAGUGGCGUCCAAAUGUGUCCCCCCACGACCUCUUCCCCCAUUUUCCUGUUUGAGGUGCACGCGAGUCUCAAUUUCAGAAAAGCGGAUUCUCCCAUUCUGGAUGAGAACGAGAAACUGGGAGGGUUGAAGUCAGGUGAGGCAUGGUUUAUCCACUUUGCCGGGAGAUUCUUGGGCUUGCAAAAGGUUUCCCCCCACGGCAUCGGUACAAACAUCAAGCUUUCUAAGUGUGUUUUUAGUUCAAUCCAAUGCUCAUAAAUUCAACAGUCCUGGGGUCUGCGGGCAGGUGCGCCGGACCCACCCCUCCCGCGCUGGAUGAGCCCACAGCCACACCUGGGAGCCCGCGCAAGGGGCCGAGGGCAGCGUGUCCUGGGCACGUCAUUCUGCGCAGCGGAGGCCGAGACUCCGCGCUCUGCGGUCAUCAGGAAGAAGCCGGACUCCUCUCCCCGCCGCUGGAAAGUGCUCCUGGAGGGGAAGCUGUGCAGCUGCCAAGGAGUGGAGAAGGCGAGCAGAUUGGACCCCAUGCCUGGGCCUGCCCUCUUUCCACGACAGAGGUGAGGGAGGAGUGUUCAUCAGUUGUGUCUGUAGUUGAAAAUGAAAUAAAGAAAGUUUCACAACACAACAUGCA
rnacentral:lncRNA from 1 species